CCAUUUGAGCAUGUGUUGCAGCCUCCAAAAUGGCCACCACGCCGAUCUUUGCAGGCCCGAAUAGGCCCAAAAAUCAGCCCGGGACGGGCUGUGGCGAUGAAUUAAGAGGCCAGCAGUGGGAGGGAGAAUGAUGCUGCAAAUCUUCCCAAGGAGAAAUCAGAUCAACACACAGCCUUUCAGCCUAUAAAUGUUACUGUCCAAAUUACAUUUGAAAAGAACAGGGGAGAUUGUCAUAAGCUCAGUGAGACACGUGACAAGAGCUGAAUACACCAAAGGAUAAGCAGAUCUUGCAGAUCUUCUGCCUCAAUUUGCUACUGUUUGGUCAGCAUAUGAAGAGGAAGUCCUAAUCAGCACCUUGACAUGGAGUACACAUCUCCUAUUCAGGUUUGGCAUCAAAGGUCAGCUGCCAAACAUACAACACCCCAAAUGUGGAAGCCGUCAAAACUCUCUCAAUAAUAUCUUAAUAAAAUUGUCCCUUAGGAGAAAUCCUGAGAUUCUCUUCAAAUGCAUACGAUUGUGCUGCAUUUCCUUUGUUGUUGUUAUUUCUGCCAUGGACUAACUGGAACCGACUGCUUGGAACCAUGCUAUAGAACAUAAAAGUUACAAACAUACGGUAUAUCCAUGCACCCAAGAGUACAUCCUAAUGAACUGAUACAUGCUUCUGAAUAUCCACGACUGGACUGUCAUUUUUUAAUGUUUAACUUCUCUUUUGUCAUCUCUUUUUCCUCAUUAUUUCCUUUCCAAAAUGUAUAAAAUUUUAUUGUAGAACUCUGACUUUAUUUAGAGCUAAACUGAACACAGUUUUU